rnacentral:tRNA from 1 species
ACCUGGAUGGCUCAGUAGGUUAAGCAUCUGACUUCAGCUCAGGUCAUGAUCUCACAGUUUGUGGGUUUGAGCCCCACAUCAGGCU